AACGCACAUUGCGCCCUUUGGUAUUCCGAGGGGCAUGCCUGUUCGAGCGUCAUUUCAUCCACUCAAGCCCAGGCUUGGUGUUGGGCCAUGCAGCACUCCUGCUGGCCCCAAUGUCCCCCGGCAGAGCCGCCCGCCUGUCAGCGUUGCGACCACCAAUUCGCUAGCAAGGCCGACCGGUUCACGCCGUUAAACCCUUUGACAAGGUUGACCUCGGAUCAGGCAGGGAUACCCGCUGAACUUAA
rnacentral:misc_RNA from 1 species